CUGACGUGCCUGGGCGAAGGAUCUUCAGCAAGGAGUUGUUUGUUUGGGUGGCCACUUCUGUGGUCAUUAGAACACCAAUACUCUGGCUGCAGGAUACACAUCCCGCAAACAUUUUUUGUUUAGUUAUUUAAAUGGGAAUUCUUUAGCUUAGCAGGUGAAAUAUGAUCAAAAUAAUGUAACUGAGUUGCAGCUUCCUUUUAAUUUUCAUUUUAUUUAAAUCUUUGUCACACUUUAGUUAGCUCUUGAGAGAUUUAUGAGUCUAAGGUUCUAAGAUAAAACACAAGACAAUGAAUCGUAUAUAAAAAAUUCAAAAUUGAUACAUACGUAACUAAGAACGUUUCAAAUUAAAGUAACUAUUGAUAUUGUAAGGUAACUAUUGAUUAUAAAUUUGGUAUGAAAUUGAAUACGGGCGCAAGCCUUUUUUAUCGCAAAGCCAAAGUUGUUUCAAAGAAUAUCCGAAAAUUUAUUUAUAAAUAAUUUAAUAUGGACAACGUUUAGCGUAUUUUUCUAACUAUGUAUGUAUGUAAAUAGUUCGUAUAUUCUCUCAUUUUAACAUAUUUAACAAUUAUAUGGCAAUAAAAUAGAAAGGAUCCUUUAGAACUAAAAAUAGACUUACAAAUGUAAACGCUAUUUCAGUUAAAACCCGUAUUUGCGUAACAUAGCAAAACAAGUCAGAAAUAAAUCACGUUAAAUAGUUUUUUAAAUUCUACUAUUGGUGUUAAAAAUCUUUCAAAUGUAUUAAAAUAUAGGCAUGCAUCGAAAAAAAGUUAAAAGUAACUAAAGUGCUAAAUCCUUAAUAUCCAAAUUGUGUUCUCUAUGAAACAAUCAAAUAGUCGUCACACUGGUCACUUUCUUUUUAUUUCGAUAUAUGCUUAUAAAAAUGAGAGUAUCGGCAUAAUUUUUAGACUAAUAAAAAUCAAAGUGUUCAAAGACAAUUAGAUUAAAUUCAAAUACACACUUUCUCCAUCGCAUAAGCAUACAUCGAAAAAGUUAAAAGUAACUAAAGUGCUAAAUCCUUAAUAUCCAAAUUGUUUUCUCUAUGAAACAAUCAAAUAGUUGUCACACUGGUCACUUUCCUUUUAUUUCGAUAUAUGCUUAUAAAAAUGAGAGUAUCGGCAUAAUUUUUAGACUAAUAAAAAUCAUAGUGUUCAAAGACAAUUAGAUUAAAUUCAAAUGCACACUUUCUCCAUUGGUAUCAAUAC